rnacentral:rRNA from 1 species
CACGUAGGGGGCGAGCGUUGUCCGGAUUUAUUGGGCGUAAAGAGCUCGUAGGCGGCUCGGUAAGUCAGGUGUGAAACCUCCAGGCUCAACCGUGGAGACGCCACCUGAUACUGCCGUGGCUAGAGUCCGGUAGGAGGAGCGUAGAAUUCCGUGGUGUAGCGGUGAAAUGCGCAGAUAUCAGGAGGAAUACCAGCGGCGAAGGCGGCGCUCUGGGCCGGUACUGACGCUGAGGAGCGAAAGCGUGGGGAGCAAACAGG